GGCCAGGAAUUAUAAACUGGAACCCCCAAAAUUGUAAUUUGAAUUCUCACUCGAGGAGCAGAUGUGCUGCCCAGGAACUUUUCCCAACUGGGACUCCAGAUUGCUGUUACAUGGGACUUCCCAGUGCUGUUUGAAGUCUGGAUGUUGACUCACCCCAAUUAGGUGAUGCUUAAGAGUCCUGCAUCUUCAAGGUAUAAACCAGAAAACUCAGACACGUGACAUACAUUCUACCAAAAAUUACUAAAUGAAGCUUCAGUUUAGAAGAGAGCAACUUCAGGAAGUUCUGAACACAAACGAACACAUCGUGUCUGUGUUGGUCUUUUACUUCAACAACUGGGAUUCAAUGUCCGACUCUUCACUCCUAUUUCGUGUAUACAGCUUAACGAAAU